rnacentral:lncRNA from 1 species
AUGCAGGGGCCGUCCACAGAGCAGUGGGCCCUGCAGGGGAGGAGUCUACGUCAAUCAUCUCUCGUCUUAUUUUGGAUGCUAAUAGACAAGCCUGGCCCUCAUCUUCCCAUGCGCAGCGUGUCCCAACAGCCAGCAGCUGCGAUUGCUCAACAAAAGGUUCGCGACAAUCGCGUCCCAGGCGGUGCGUGCUUCCUGGGUGGCCGCUCCGUCCUGUGGGAGGACCCAGAGAGUGGUGUUCAUGGAAGGACCUCCAGGAGGAAAACCCUGCACUGCAGCGCCGCGGGCGGGGGUUCCCGGGAUGCCCACUAUCUGCGUAUGUACGGUCAGGGCUCUGCUGCCUCCCUCCAAGGUGCGGCGAGACACCCGCCGCAGGACAGCGAGCAGCGAGGUCAUUGCGCCUUUGCAGGGCUGUACCUGGGAAAGCUGGGGCCCCCUCCUGAGGGUUCCCUCCUCAUUUCCUCUCCUUUCCUCCUCCGGCUCCUUCACCACCUGCCUUCUCCCGAGAGACCUCGUUACUACCAGCAGCGUCCUGGGCCUCCCAGAUCUGCCUCAUCUCCCUGCUGCUUAGCUCAUUUCCUCAAAUGCUGCUUCUGUUCCAACAGUCUCGGGGGCCCCUGGAAGUCCUUGAAGACCCUUCUGCACGGCUUUCGGGCCUCCCAAGUUCCGGCCUCAGCCACACCUCGCUGGGUUUUUUUGUGCUGCUGCAAUCCGAGCAAGCAGGAGUCCACCGUGCCGAGAUUUCCUCGUUUCCUAGCAGCUUGGUUGGGUGCUGACUUUGCCUGGUCAGUCGCCUCCUCCUUCCCUGCCGUCUGAAUUUCUCCCCAGCUCGGGAAGAACUCUCCUACCUGCUCCACGGACCACCUCGCUCUCCAUCCACAAUGCCUCUGUACUCUGACCCUCACUGCGGGAUACACGGAGGCCCCCUGGGGCCGCUCCUGUCCAGUAGAAAGAUGAAUUGAGUGACUUGGUGACAUCACGUGCCCUGUAACUGAGUAUAGACUCAUCUCCAGCUAUGUGUCUGCACUCUCCGGCCUGUAUAGGGCUGGGGAAUUAUACAGGACAGGCUUUUUACAAAAUUUAUUUAUUGAAAAGACAGAGAGAAAGAAAAAUGAUCUUCCAUCUGCUGAUCCACUCCCCAAAUGGUCUGAACAGCCGGCGCUGAGCCAGGUCAAAGCCAGGAGACCAGAACUCCAUAUGGGUCCCCCAUGUGGGUGACAGGGGCCCAAGCACUUGGGCCAUCUUCUGCUGCUUUCCCAAGCACGUUAGCAGGGAGCUGGGUCAGAAGUGAAGCAGCUGGGUCUUGAACCAGCACUCCCUUAUGGGAUGGCAGUCAGCCUCACGAGGUGUGGCUUAACCUGCUGGACCAUGGCACCUGCCUCUGAUUUUUUAUUUUUUAAUCUUCACAUUGGUUACUGUCACUAUGCAACAUACCAUCACUAUGCAAAUAUCCUGUCGCUAUGCAAACAUGCUGUCACUAUGCAAACAUACUUGAGUUGGCCAAAAUGACCUCUUAGGACUUCUGCUGUCCUUUUGUUCUGUGGCUCUAAACAAAGCAUACAAGAUGGGACCUCAAUCUUGGGGAACAUGGGAUUUAGUUGGGACUGUGUUCUGCACACUUUUGCAGAGAGAACACAUUUCCCCAAAGCUGCUCUAUCGCAUUAGUAGAUUCUUUGUCAUUAGCUUCCAGGAAUUCCAGUGGUUAAGUUAGGCAUUUAAUGAAUGGACUGCAUGAAUACAUAAAAGUAUUUUUAUUUAUGUCUGAAUGUGUAAGAACCCAAUAAUGUCAGUAGCAAGGAGCUGACAGUGUCUGAGACAUGUGCAGUAGCUCUCAGCUGAUCAGUUUGCAGAACCAUUCAGUUCCUGUUGGCCGAGUGUCUGCCAUGCACUGGGCACUGUGUUGGGCAUCAAGUGCAUUGUGAUGAAGAAGAAAGGCCCACAUCUGCCAUGAGGAGCUUCUGGGCAUCUUUGAGGAAAAAAUCAUGAUACAUUUUAAGAUUGAUUUAUUUAUUUGAAAGGUAGAGUUACAGAGAGGCAGAGACAGGGGCAGAGAGAGAGAGAGAGAGAGGUCUUCCAUCACUUGCCAAAUGGCCACAACAGCCAGAGCCAGGAGCCUGGAGCUUCUUCCAGGUCUCCCACGUGGGUGCAGAGGCCCAAGGACUUGGGCUGCUUUCCCAGGGGCCUUAGCAGGGAGCUGGAUGGGAAGUGGAGCAGCCAAGACUUGAACUGGUGCCCUAUGGGAUGCAGGCACUGCAGGUGGCAGCUUUACCGGCUACACUACAAGCGAACCUUUUUCUAAAGUGCAGAAGAUUGAAGCUUCCCAGUGGGCCAGUCCAUGGUGUACCUAUCACAGGUACACAUUUGCUUCUCAUCUUAUUUCUCCUGCUGGAUUGUAAACUUCUGGAGUGCACAGCUUGUUUCCUGUCUGCGCCUUCCCCCAGUGGCCUGUGUGAUGAGCUUCCCUAACGCUGGGCUCAUAACUCUAUUAGUGCCCUUAUCGUGUAGGUUUAGUGGUGGCUGCAGAUGGGAUCUCCACACCAGCAUGCAUGAUCUCGAGUUGCUCACACGAUCUAGAAAGAAACUGAUAUUAUUGACCUUAUUUAACAUUAAGACCAUGGCAUUCUGGAUGGAACAGGGCUCGGCUCCCCAAACUCAUGCGAUUGUUUGAACUCCAAAGUCUAGUUAAUGAGUCGGCACUAGUGGUUGGUCACUUAGGGUAGAGGCUUCAUCCAACCAUGGCCUGUGAAGCUGGGAACUUUGGAAAAUGGUGGGAUUGGAUUCGUGUUCUAGGUCAAGGCCCCGACGCAAUCACAAUGGCCUUGUAAGGAGAAGCCACUUGGAGGGCACAGGAAGAAUGCGCUUCUUCCCCUUAUCUGCUUCCCGGUUCGCCAGGUGAGCUGGUGCACUGCACUUGCUCCAUCAUUGCCAGUUUCCACCACAUUCCACUCACGGGGCCACCCAGUCUUAGACUGUGGACCUCCCAGCAGAAAGCCAAGCUACACUGUCUGCCCUCCUCAGUGGUUCCUCAUGGAUAUUUAGUGAAGGCAGUACGAGGCUGACUGAUUCACGUGGACUGCACGGCGCCACGUGAUCUGGCCCCAGCCCCAGCUCCUUCCUCCUCCUCUCGGCCCUUGCUCUGCAGCCACCUAGCCCUUGGCUGACCCAGGCAGGAACACUCUUGCUCUAGGGCCCAACCUCUCUGGCUGCCUGCAAUGCUCUUCUCCCAGAUUGCGACCAGACCCCUCUGUCAAGUUCCUGGGAUCUGCGCCCGAGGUGACCUCUCCGGGGAGGGCUUUGCUGACCUGUGGAGAAGAGCAUCUGCCCCCAGCCUGCCCCGCACAGCUCCAGGCUGCUUUCCAGUACUGUCACCUCUCUAUCUGUGCUGCUUAAUUUGUAAUCGCUGUCCGUUAAUAUCUGAAUGCUGUUUGCACUUGGGAAGGACUCUGUGUGUCUGCUUCAGAGCUAGGCCCCUGGUCCCAAGCUCAGCACAAAGUGGAUCUUCAAUAAGUAUUUGUUAGAUAAGUGCAUUUACAUUUUGUAGACAAGAGUUUGGAGCUCAGAAAGAUUAAACCAUUUAUUCGAGGCCAUAGGCGUAGGAAGUGCCAGAGGUGGGAUUUGAACCCGAGUCAUUUGUUGUAACAGCCCUGUGUAUAUUGCUCAUUCUUCCCCCAUUAGCCUCUUAGCUUCUCCACAGCAAGAACAGCUUGUAUUGUAUCUCUGAGCCUAAACGUCGCGUACUGCCUUUUGCAGCGGGAGUCCUGUUCCCCGCCUUGUUCACAGCGCACAUGCAAGUUGAAUGCCGCUGAUGCUUUGCUCAUCUCCUGAAGAUUUCAUACGCUAUGACGGGGCCAGGGUACAAAUGUGCUCUUUCUUUAGAUUUAUUUAUUUAUUUGAAAGUCAGAGUUACACAGGACAGGCAGAGAGAGAGAGAGAGAGAGAGAGAGAGAGAGGUCUUCUAUCCACUGAUUCACUUUCCUAUUGGCCGCCACAGCCGGAGCUGCGCUGAUCUGAAGCCCGGAGCCAGGAGCUUCUUUCUGGUCUCCCACGUGGGUGCAGGGGCCCAAGGACUUGGGCCAUCUUCCACUGCUUUCCCAGGCCAUAGCAGAGAGCUGGAUUGGAAGAGGAGCAGACAGGACUCCAACCAGCGCCCACAUGGGAUGCCAGCACUUCAGGCCAUGGUGUUAACCCACUGCACCACAGCACCAGCCCCUGUGCUGUCUUUAAAAAAAGAACACACGGCAAAUUGAGGGCACACUGAAGUGGCCACAGGACUGAGCACCGGUUCUGAGUGUCCACCAGACAACAGACGCGAUGCUCAAGUUCCUGAGAAUUUGGACGCAGUGAUGCCCAUGAAUUUGGAGGUGUCUGAGUAACAGAAAGAUGAGCUCUCUGGACUCCCAAGGGGAAAAUGACGGUUUGGUAGAAGGCAGGGGUACACUGACCAGCUGACCUGGGGCAGCAACAGUGUAGAACCACUGCCCGGGACCUCCACCGCCCAUAUCAGAGGGCCAGUUCAGGCAGCUACUCCACACUCCCGGGCCAGCUUGUACUGAUGCGCUGGGGAACCAGUAGAAGACGGCCCAAGUGCUUGAGUUCCUGCCACCCACAGUGGACCCCGAACGGAGCUCCUGGCUCCUGACUUUUGCCUGGCUGUUGUGGGCAUGCAGGGAGUGAGUCAGUGGAUGGAAGAUUCUCUCUCUCUCUCUCUCUCUCUCUCUCUCUCUCCCCUCUCCCUCUCCCUCUCCCCCCUCCCUCUCCCUCUCUCUCUCCCCCCUCCCUCUCCCUCUCCCUCUCCCUCUCCCUCUCCCUCUCCCUCUCAAGAUGAAAUUGGAGUCAUUGGGCACGGGGGUAAGCUCUCUCUAGCCAUCUCAUUCCCCUUAGCGACAAAAUAAAUGUGAUAAGUAGUGGC